rnacentral:lncRNA from 1 species
GUUGAUAGUGGGUCACAAAGAUCAGUUCAUAGAGAGUCUGCAUGUAGUAGAUAGUGUGUCAUAGACCUAAUUUUCAUCUUAUUGUAAUUUCAUAAGAUAUUGGAGCGUAAUUGACUCUCUAUAGUAGGAUGUUAACUCAACUUCAGAAUUAGAUUAUGAAAGGGUUAAUAUUUUCCUAUGGGUCCUAAUGUCCCCCUUUGAGCUCCUGAUUCAUGGUAGCAUGAUUUUAAAGGUAUUUUUAGGUUUCUAAUUCAUA